rnacentral:rRNA from 1 species
AUUGAACGCUGGCGGAAUGCUUUACACAUGCAAGUCGAACGGCAGCACGGGGGCAACCCUGGUGGCGAGUGGCGAACGGGUGAGUAAUACAUCGGAACGUGCCCGGUCGUGGGGGAUAACGUAGCGAAAGUUACGCUAAUACCGCAUACGAUCUGAGGAUGAAAGCGGGGGACCUUCGGGCCUCGCGCGAUCGGAGCGGCCGAUGUCAGAUUAGGUAGUUGGUGGGGUAAAGGCCUACCAAGCCGACGAUCUGUAGCUGGUCUGAGAGGACGACCAGCCACACUGGGACUGAGACACGGCCCAGACUCCUACGGGAGGCAGCAGUGGGGAAUUUUGGACAAUGGGCGCAAGCCUGAUCCAGCCAUUCCACGUGCAGGACGAAGGCCUUCGGGUUGUAAACUGCUUUUGUAUGGAACGAAAAGGCUCUGGCUAAUACCCGGGGCUCAUGACGGUACCGUAAGAAUAAGCACCGGCUAACUACGUG